ACGCUAGCUACAGGCUUAACACAUGCAAGUCGAGGGGAAACGGCAUUAAGUGCUUGCACUUUUUGGACGUCGACCGGCGCACGGGUGAGUAACGCGUAUCCAACCUUCCCAUGACUAAGGGAUAACCUGCCGAAAGGCAGACUAAUACCUUAUGGUCUUCACUGACGGCAUCAGAUGUGAAGUAAAGAUUUAUCGGUUAUGGAUGGGGAUGCGUCUGAUUAGCUUGUUGGCGGGGUAACGGCCCACCAAGGCAACGAUCAGUAGGGGUUCUGAGAGGAAGGUCCCCCACAUUGGAACUGAGACACGGUCCAAACUCCUACGGGAGGCAGCAGUGAGGAAUAUUGGUCAAUGGGCGAGAGCCUGAACCAGCCAAGUAGCGUGCAGGAUGACGGCCCUAUGGGUUGUAAACUGCUUUUGUAUGGGGAUAAAGUCAGUCACGUGUGAUUGUUUGCAGGUACCAUACGAAUAAGGACCGGCUAAUUCCGUGCCAGCAGCCGCGGUAAUACGGAAGGUCCGGGCGUUAUCCGGAUUUAUUGGGUUUAAAGGGAGCGUAGGCUGGAGAUUAAGUGUGUUGUGAAAUGUAGACGCUCAACGUCUGACUUGCAGCGCAUACUGGCUUCCUUGAGUACGCACAACGUUGGCGGAAUUCGUCGUGUAGCGGUGAAAUGCUUAGAUAUGACGAAGAACUCCGAUUGCGAAGGCAGCUGACGGGAGCGCAACUGACGCUGAAGCUCGAAGGUGCGGGUAUCGAACAGGAUUAGAUACCCUGGUAGUCCGCACAGUAAACGAUGGAUGCCCGCUGUUGGUACCUGGUAUCAGCGGCUAAGCGAAAGCAUUAAGCAUCCCACCUGGGGAGUACGCCGGCAACGGUGAAACUCAAAGGAAUUGACGGGGGCCCGCACAAGCGGAGGAACAUGUGG
rnacentral:rRNA from 1 species